rnacentral:rRNA from 1 species
ACGCACGCUGGCGGCGUGCUUAACACCUGCCAGUCGAACGGAAAGGCCCCUUUGGGGGUACUCGAGUGGCGAACGGGUGAGUAACACGUGAGUAACCUGCCCUUGACUUCGGGAUAACUUCAGGAAACUGGGGCUAAUACCGGAUAGGAAUCCUUGCUGCAUGGUGGGGGUUGGAAAGCUUCGGCGGUUUUGGAUGGACUCGCGGCUUAUCAGCUUGUUGGUGGGGUAGUGGCUUACCAAGGCUUUGACGGGUAGCCGGCCUGAGAGGGCGACCGGCCACAUUGGGACUGGGAUACGGCCCAGACUCCUACGGGAGGCAGCAGUGGGGAAUAUUGCACAAUGGGCGGAAGCCUGAUGCAGCAACGCCGCGUGCGGGAGGACGGCCUUCGGGUUGUAAACCGCUUUCAGCAGGGGCGAAGCUUGUGGUGACGGUACCUGCAGAAGAAGCACCGGCUAACUACGUG